UCCGGUUUGUCACCGGCAGUCUGGCGUGAGUCCCCAACUUAAUGCUGGCAACACGCCACGGGGGUUGCGCUCGUUGCGGGACUUAACCCAACAUCUCACGGCACGAGCUGACGACAACCAUGCAGCACCUUGUAUGGCGCCCCGAAGGGAAACCCUGUUUCCAGGGCGGUCGCCAUACAUUCUAGCCCAGGUAAGGUUCCUCGCGUAUCAUCGAAUUAAACCACAUGCUCCUCCGCUUGUGCGGGCCCCCGUCAAUUCCUUUGAGUUUUAACCUUGCGGCCGUACUCCCCAGGCGGAUGACUUAACGCGUUAGCUGCGCCACCGAAACCCUAAGGGCCCCGACAGCUAGUCACCAUCGUUUACGGCGUGGACUAC
rnacentral:misc_RNA from 1 species